CAGGAGCUCAGAGGGCUCCGGGGCGCGGGUGCAAGCGGCCCCUGAGCUGUGGUCAGAAACCGCCCUUCGCGCCACCAGCGCUGGGCAGGCCCCUUGGGCGCGCUCUCCACGCUGUUGCAAGUCCUGAACCCGUGCGCUGCAGCCAGCUCCCCGGCAGCCUCUGCCCGCACCUCAGAGGAGGACCCGCUCAGGAAGCUUCUGCCAAGCCUCGAGCUCUUCUCUUCCAGCAGGCUGCAUCCUUCCCCGUCUGUAUUUUUCCACUCAGUCUCCCAGCCCCUGAAGUCUUCCUGCUGCUGGCCAGUGACCCGGUCUCAGGGGUCAACGUGCUGGGGUCUGGCUCAGCAGGGCAGCUGCCCCAGGAUCCAGCGUCUGGCAGCACAACGGCCCCCGGGCCACCUUCCCCAGAGCCCCAGCCCCCGGAUGCCCCUGUCCCCGAGGACACAGAGCUAGGGUCCCAACAGGCCCUGUGCCUGCGUCCAGCGCAGCUCUCCAAUGAAUCGGACACACUGCCUGAGGGAGUCAAACGCAGGAAGCGGCAAUUUCAUAUUUCUUUGCAGCACUGAAAUAUCUCCAACUAACCCACCAAAACUCACACACCACAUCUGAUCGGGCACCAAACCCUGCGGCUCUCCCUUUGCGGCUCCAGAACCUGUCCCUGCCACGCCUUCCUCCGCCUUCUUGCGAUGGCUUCCUGAUCAGUCCAGAAGAGCAGCCUCGGAGACCUCCAGGAACAUCCAUCCGGUGUCCCACUUCUGCCCAACAUCCUCCAAAUUCCUCACGGUUCCUUCCAAAGUCGUGCUUGACCUCACGCUUCCAUCUGUCUGACUUGAUCUUCAGCUCAGCCCCGUUUCUUCUUUCCGGGCCUCGGGGUUCCCCGCCAUGCUGCGCACAUACAAGACGCGCCUGCGCCUCCGGGCCUUUGCGCCUGCUGGUUUCUUUGCCAGGAAAGCCUUUCCUAGGCAACCACGUGGCGCACCUACUCUACGUGCUGCUCCAGUGUCAGCUCCACGAACCCUCCAACCCCAGUUGUAACCCUCCCUCCCUCCCCUCUGCGCUCCCUAAACUUUUCUUGUUCGACUCUAUUUUUCUUUAUUAAAUUUCUCACCAUUUGAUUGUCUAUAUAUGUACUUAUUUCUUGUCUUCCUUAUGCGCACGCGUGUGCGCACACACACACACACACAUACACACACACACAUAAGUACACACACACUCAAACUGAAAGCUUCAGAAAGCAAGGAUUUCUCCCACUUUCCUCAUGACUGUACCCUGAGCACUGGAAGACAAAUGCUCAACGAAUAAUUGCGCAGGUUGAAAGCCCACCUACGUUUCGUACCAGGCUGAGGAUGAACCAUGAUGAAAUAGCCAAACUCAGUAUGAUUUGUAUCUACAAUAUUAUUAAGUGGACUUCAUAUUAUACUGGGGAAGAAUACUUUAUACCCGACUUU
rnacentral:lncRNA from 1 species